GAGGGAAGCGGAGGGGAAAUCUGCUAGGGCUCAUGCCCUCCUCGGAAUACACGUGUAGCAAACUCGGAGGAAAAGAAGACUGCCUCUCCGGUACAGCCCAUUAUAAGAGAGGAGAAAGGAACAUGCGCCCCACAGUCAAGUCUUCAGAUGAUCCAGCCCCAGUUGCUCUAUGACUGCAACAGCAUGACAAAUCCCAAGAAAGUGCUGCUCAGCAGAGUCCAGUCAACUCCCAGAGCUAUCGGAUAUACAGGACAAAAUCCCCAUCAUGAAGAGGAUUUCCCAUGAUACAACCCAUCAUCAGAUCCCCCAACACUGCUGAAAGACCACUGGCCCUAGUCUGUCAGGGCUUCAGAUGGCCAGUUCCCCCUCUCAGACUCCUGGGAUGGGAUCACGUACCUGGGAUGGGCCCAGCAACCCAAAGCUGGUGCCAGCGCAACCAGCAGCUACUGAUUAUGCCCAUCCCUUUUAAAAACCACUGGAGUGUCUCUAGCUCCUAAAAGAAGAUAAUUAAGGGGGUAGAAGGCCAUCAGGUGUGAAAGCAUACUUUUCAGGAAGACACCUGGGUCAGUUUCUCAUCCAAUCGUAUCAACCAUAGAGGAGACAGGAAAUAGGUGACUAUUAUCCCUGUGGUUCCCAUUGGGCCUCUGCGGGAAUAAAUGCAGUCUAUUUUCUGGGAGAUCAAUAAAAGUAAGAUCCCAUAGCUUCACCUGAAAGGGAUAUCAGUAACCGCUACUAGCUCAGUGGAAUGUUAAGAUCAAGAAAGGAGUGGAGGACCUGAAACAAAAAGUGAUAAGCAGUGGUGUCAGGAAUAUACACGAAUCCAUAAUGCUGUCUGGUAUGUGGACACUCUGAUCCUGUGUACUGGCUACUCAACUGGAUGACAGAGAAGUAACGGCCAGAAGCCUCCAAAAAUGACCCCCCUGGCCAGAGCCUAACAAAUGAAGAACUUGAGUUUCCAUAGAGAAAUAUUUCUCUACCCAAUCAAUAUAGCUUAUCUGUAAAUGGUUAGAAGAAACAUCUGUAAAAAUAUCUAUGUUAAGGUCAUUGCCAUGAAAGAGUAAGGUAGAGAGCAACUAUUUAUUUGUCUAAUUUAACCAGGACAAACAACCCAACCAGACAAUUUGAGCCCCUAAAGAAGAAAUCAUUUUUGUCCAGUGCGUAAUGAAGACAAGUGUUUCGGUUAAGCUAGUUCUUAUAUAUUUACAUAAUUGCUUCAAUCCUUUGCUUUCUGGUCACAUUGUGAAUGCUUUUUGAGUUGGAAAGAUUCUUCACUCAUUCAACUUGGUAUUCUUCUUCUUAAACAAGGCUUAAAAUGAAAUCAGCUAAAAACUCAAGAGUAGAAUCACUUUCAAAUUUUCCAUGCAACCUCAAUUCUAAUUUGAGAAUUCAAAAUCAAUUCUGCACUCAUUGAGAUAAUUGUUUGAGCUUUGAGCUUCCUAUUACUCUACCAAUCAUGCCAAAUCUGUUGGGAGGUUUUUAGCAUGAAGGAGAAAAUGAAUUUUAUCUUUUUAAAAUCUUUUAAAGAAAACAAUUAAGUUUUUUCUUUCAAUUGAACUAUUCAUUUAAGCUAGUGGGAGCAUAUGGCUUAAAAAUCAACCAAUAAGAUAAAAAUCAAAUAAACCAAUUUCUUUUUUGAAUGGUUCUGGAUUAAUAUUCACUUGGGCUAGGCUUUGAAAUAAUCUAGUCUGAUAGUUCUUAUCCUUUUUUGGGUCAGGGAUUCCUUUGAGAAUCUAAUAGAAGCUAUGGAUCCUCGCUCCAGAAAAUCUGUAUGUGUGUAAUUUCAAGGGCUUUAUGGACCUAGUGGCUAUAUGGAAUCUAUAUUCAAAAAUCU